rnacentral:rRNA from 1 species
AGCAGCCGCGGUAAUUCCAGCUCCAAUAGCGUAUAUUAAAGUUGUUGCAGUUAAAAAGCUCGUAGUUGAAUUUCGGGGUCAGUAGGUUGGUCGUGCCACUGGUAUGCACUGGUCUCACUGAUUCCUCCUUCCUGAUGAACCGUAAUGCCAUUAAUUUGGUGUUGCGGGGAAUCUGGACUGUUACUUUGAAAAAAUUAGAGUGUUUAAAGCAGGCUAACGCUUGAAUACAUUAGCAUGGAAUAAUGAAAUAGGACGAUCGAUCCUAUUUUGUUGGUUUCUAGGAUUGACGUAAUGAUUAAUAGGGAUAGUUGGGGGCAUUAGUAUUCAAUUGUCAGAGGUGAAAUUCUUGGAUUUAUUGAAGACUAACUACUGCGAAAGCAUUUGCCAAGGAUGUUUUCAUUAAUCAAGAACGAAAGUUAGGGGAUCGAAGACGAUCAGAUACCGCCGUAGUCUUAACCAUAAACCUAUGCCGACUAGGGAUCGGAUGAUGUUAAUUUUUUAAUGACUCAUUCGGCGUACC